CGGCUGCCUCGUCGGCGUCGUAUGUUACACCUGCAAGAGAGUAGGACCACAUAUAGCUGACCAUGGCUGAAGACUGGUUUAGGCAAGUAUAGAGCAACGUUUGAUAAAGUCUGGCCUUGGCUUUUAUUCACUGUCAUCGCAUAGCAAACCCGGAUUGGGAACUGGCGACGUUUCAAGGUGAAAGAGUGGUUGGAUUCUAGUGGUGACAGGAUGAUCCGUGGCAGCAGGAUAGGAUCUGUCUUCUUUGUAGCAGUUACGCAGGAGCAUGACCGGGACACCCACUUUCAGCCGGAGUUUGUGAGCUGGUAGGCCUGGGAACUCCAAGGAGUUCAGAUAUUCCAAUGGGUAGGACAUUUUGAACUCCUCUGAAUGCUGUUCAUCCUCUGCAAAGGUGU